rnacentral:sRNA from 1 species
UUUUAGCCCCGAUAGGAGUGGAAAUCCUUUUUAUUGUUUUUUGGGAAAGUCCUUCAACAAGUUAAGGGUGACAAAACAAUAAAAAGAUUGUAACGAUAGCGGGAAGACAA